ACGUGCGCUGGAGUGUGCCUGAGCGUGGCUCGGACUAACGCGUUAAGUCGACCGCCUGGGGAGUACGGCCGCAAGGUUAAAACUCAAAUGAAUUGACGGGGGCCCGCACAAGCGGUGGAGCAUGUGGUUUAAUUCGAUGCAACGCGAAGAACCUUACCUACUCUUGACAUCCAGAGAACUUAGCAGAGAUGCUUUGGUGCCUUCGGGAACUCUGAGACAGGUGCUGCAUGGCUGUCGUCAGCUCGUGUCGUGAGAUGUU
rnacentral:rRNA from 1 species